GGGGAAUUAGGGUUUAACGUGUGACCCUUCAACUUCUCAUUAUUCAGACUCAACCUUCUCUCAUUUCACUUUUCACAAACCAAUGCCGGAAAUCGCUCCGCCACGCCGGAGGCGGCGGAGCUCGACCAAAAUGUAAAACAAACACAUCAUCCUGAUCGUCUCUCCUUCCCCUACCCCAAUCUCAUGCCAAUUUCUGCAAAUUUUCCCUAAAAUUGAAACCCUAAAACACUUUCAAAACCGAAUUAGAUGAAGAAGACAAAGUCAUAGGCUUUAAGACCUUAGGGGAAACGUUCAAUAUGCAUCAACUAACACGAUUACAUCAAGAAAAUAGAGACGAAGAGGAUUACCUGGUGUGCCGGAGGGAGUUGGAGACUGAGGAACCUAGAGGGAGAAUUGAAGCUGAAAAUGAUCGACGGUGAAGGUAGAGUUUGAAGGUUGCAUUGAUGAUGAGAUUGAGAAUGAAGAACUGAGAUGAUGAUGAAUGAGGAGGCGAGGGAUUGAAGGUGAAGAAGUGAGGGAUUGAAGCAGGUUUGGCUGAUAGAAGAAGAUGAUCAAAGACUGAGCCAAAACCAGAGCGUGAAGAGUGAAAAAAAGUUAACCCCUGAAGAAUGGAGAAGGCUCUGACUUUAUAGAAGAUUCCAGGUCCACAAUAUUGCCUACCUGAAGGUGAUGAAGAUGGAAGCAUCUUUGGUGUAACAUGAAGUUAUUCAAGAAAGUGUCAUGGCCAACUGAAGAUGAAUAGAGGCUUGAAGGUGGCAUAGGAAGUGGGAUUAGAAACAAUAGGCUAUCAACAUUUUUGGUGCAAUUCUCUUGUAGUUUUGUAAUGAGACUAUGUAACGUAUCUUAAAUCUCGAUUCUUGUAAGUGCAAAGAUUUGGUUUUUCCAAAUUGAUUUGAAUUGUAUUUUCCCUCCAAAUACUCUUGAAUUUGUAUUUCCAAUCUUUUCACUUCUAUUUUGCAUUUCAACUCAAUUAUGUAUGAUGAAAAAUCCAAAAGGAUUAAGAUGGGCUUAUGUCAUGGUUUGACUAAGAUCUUCCCCCAAUGUAUUUUUCAUAUACUCAAUCUUGACUCUUAAAGCUUGUUUCAAUUUUCACCGAGGGUUGCUAGCGAGACACCAUUGAAUUGCAAAACAAAAAUGGAUGAAUUUAAAUCUUUAAAGAACGAAUCAACUCUUUGAACAUCUCUUUGAACAUCUGACUAUCAAACCAUG